rnacentral:rRNA from 1 species
UAAAAAGUUUCAACUGGGAUUAGAUACCCCACUAUGCCCGGCCUCAAACUUUGAUUAAUUACAAUUUUAUUCGCCAGGGGACUACGAGCGUCAGCUUAAAACCCAAAGGACUUGGCGGUGCCCUACACCUCCUAGAGGAGCCUGUUCUGUAAUCGAUAAUCCACGAUAUACCUCACCGUUUCUUGCCAAAACCGCCUAUAUACCGCCGUCUCCAACUUACCCUAUGAAGGAUAUACAGUAAGUUUAAAGAUCACCCAUCAGAACGUCAGGUCAAGGUGUAGCGAAUGAAACGGGAAGAAAUGGGCUACAUUUUCUAUUUUAGAUCACACGGACAAUCAGUAUGAAACCUGAUUAUGAAGGAGGAUUUAGCAGUAAAAAGAAAUCAGCAAGUUCUUUUUAAGUCGGACCUAGGGCGCGUACACACCGCCCGUCACCCU